CUGCAAGUCCUCGCCUGAUACCUGGUAAUAUACAUUUAAUUUAGAAUCAUUGAUAGACACAUUGUAUAUUUUAUCCAUUCAUCUUGAGUUUACAAAUGUUUACACAAGGUAACAAGUAUUUCCAUGUUGUUAAGUUUCAAGUGCAACAAGGCAAGUCACAAUUAAGGGUUGGAUGAUCACCUUUAAGGGCUCUGAGGGCAUCACACCAACAUUUGCAAUUGGACUUGCUGCUAUGUUUGCAACCUACUACAUUUUCAGCCUUCAGUAUCAAGAUGAGACAGCCUGCCCUCUGGAAUUCAUUCAGAGGCACUUCAUUGAUAUAAAUCAAGAGAGAGGAACAAAUGCCAAAAUCAUCAGACAAGAUUGUCUCUAAGAAGAAAGGUGUGAUCGUCCAGAAGUCGUCUUCUGCAGUUAAAUACACACGUGGCCAUGCUACUGAAGAAUCUCCUUGACUUUUUAUUGGAACUUCAUAUAGAUCGUGGCAGCACUGGAAUAAUGCUGCAGAGAGGAACAGCGGCUACUAAAGUGAUGAUCGUCUCUUCUGGAUCCACAAGAACUAAGAUGUAAAAACACAAACCUACCUCACAGGACAAUUUUAAGAGGUAACCUGCAAGUCUAGCUUGCAGUGGCACAUGUGCCUAUACGGUUUCAUCCUAAAUGUUUUUUAUGCUUAUUAUUGAUACAUCCUGACAAAAUGUUCUACUGUACUAUAAUAGUUUCAAAAUGGCCUUAGGUAUGUUUUCAAAAAGUAAACUAUAGGUUAUGCCCUUCACAUAGGGGCAGUCUCUGACGAGCAAUUUAAGAACGUACGUUUAUUGCCAUAGUCUAAAGCAAGAAACUACUGUUUCUGUUUACUACUAGAAAGCUUUUUCAACAUUGUCCAACAGGAUUUAUUUUCUUUCCUUUUUUGUAUUCAUGUUGACAUUGACAUUUCUCUUUGAAAUAAAGGUGUUUGAUUUGAAAGUUUUUGUUGCUUAUUUUGCAUAAUAUUCACAAUAAUGCAUAUCUUAAGCAGUUGUCUUUAGCCCUGGGAAUUCAUUGGGCAAGUUCAUGGGAGACUGAUAUUUUAAAUAUCAAUGAAGAAUUUUUAGAGACUAAAUUUAUGUUAUUUCAAAAA